rnacentral:lncRNA from 14 species
AAAAACGGCCUGGAGCUGACAGCCUCUCUGCCGCUUUAAACCCACUCAGGAACAGCUCCCAAGACGAGACAAAGUGCUGAUGAAUGCCCCGCUAUGUGUAGCAACCCUGCAGAGCCCUCCCCACCACUCUAAACUCAGCGGAUGAAUCACACCAGGAGGCGGCGUAGUCAGCCAGGAGGAGGACUGGAGGAACCUCCCCCGGAAGCGACCCCGCCUUCCCUCUGCGUCUUGGGCCUGCUCUUGGCGCGCCCUCACUGCCUCCGCCAUGGCCAUGCUCUGCGCCACCACCCAGACGCAGUAAUGGCGACUGCACGCGGAAGUGGGGGUAGACUGACUCUGCCCCCACCAGCUCCCUUCCUGUCAGCAGAGCGAAAGUUACCUGAAGGACAAAAGGACGCAACGGACAAUGCAGCCCUGUGAGCCAGGGCCUGGCCGCUUGGCCUGGCCUGAGUGGGGACCUGGAAGUGCCACUGGCGCAGAACAGCCUGUUGUGCAGUGCCUGAGGCAUCUCCAACCACAGCAGGGCUACAGGCUCAGGCUGGGGGACCAGGCAUCACUGAACCUUCUUAUCCCUACCUGGGUGCUCAGCUGCACUAUGGAGCCACCUCUGGAGCUGAGGCCCAGCCCCACUGGAGCAGAAGUGAUUUCAACCAGUCUCCACAUGGAUGAGACCCUGCAGAGCUCAGUCCCUCCUUGCAGAAGACAUUGUCGUAGAGGACCUAAUGAUCUUGAACAGCUGGGAGUAACUGGAAACAUCACCGCACUGGCCAGACCAACCGUAUCUUCUGCCUGGAGAACCUACAGACAGGAUCAACAGCAUCUAGUAAUGUAGCCAUACCUAUAGCAUAAUCAGGCUUACCAGUAACAGAGAGCACAAAAAAAUUAGAUUAGCUUAUGAGAAGUGCUCAUUACAAGAUUCUACACAGGAAAGAUACACUGGCCACCUGUGUUAAAGGGAUGGAAGGCAAUGAUGGAUGAGGCUGAAAAAGAUGUCUUGAUUCUAUGAUUCUAUGAUUUGCUGAACAACCAAAGCAUUUUACCAAGUUCCAUCACUAAAGUGCCACUGGGAAUUAUAUAGCUCAUGGUGUUGAAUCAGGCAAAGGCCCAAACUGCAGAGACUGGUGGGAUCCCAACCUUGGACAUCAUUAAGCUCCAUAUAUGACUAUACUCAGGGCUUUGAUCAGAACUUCUCCUUAGUGAAACCUUGUCUCCAAAGUCAGAGUCCAGCUUGCUAGGAUCUUUCAGGUGGCACCAGACUUCACCUAAACCAUUCCCUUUAGGGAGCUAAAGCUCAUGAUCGAUGGGGAAGAGCAAAAGCAUAGUUUUUCUGUGCAGCCAGAAACAACAUAAAGCAAGGAAUUCUGGUGCACUGGUCAGGGUUGGUAGAGGUGCCCUCCUGCACAGUAGAAAAGGCAGAGCUGAGGACCUGCGUGGCUCUGGGACUCCCAAUGCCCUGGCUCUGUGCUCCACAAAUGCUCUGCCAGAGCUGGUGGGAAGGCAAGAGAUUAGGCCAGCCUGGACUUUAUGGAGACCAAAUACCCAGACAUGUCGUGGUGGGCUAAGGUAAAGCCAGAGGGCAUUGCAGAAAUAGUUGAUCCAUUCACACUCCUGGGUCUCAAAGAACUGAAAUGACACAGACAAAACAGCCCUAACAUCUGUGAGAAGAGAGCAAAUCUCCUCUAUUCUGAUCUCUUCUCAUCCCACUACAAAGAUCUCUGUCCACAGCAAGGAGCAGGUGAUGUUGGUCUUCUGCAGGAAACAUGGUAACUAACCAUGAGUCAUAGAAUCAUAGAACCAAGUAGGCUGAAGAACACCUCCUCCAGAGAAGAAGUCAUCCCUUUACACACCCACGUACUUCAAAGACGAGAGAUAAGUUCAGGAAUGUCUUCAGCAUGGAUGCGGAAGAGGUCACUCAGCACACCACUACCUCUGGGGAGAUGAAGCCAGCUUCCUAAGGGCACUGCAUGUUCCCUAGGUACUCCAUGGUUCUGCAGUCCCAGCUGACUUCUCUCCCUCAACUAUGGUGCAAUAAAAAAGCAUUGGGGAUCUAUGAAAGCA